UACAGAGGGGGCAAGCGUUGUUCGGAAUUACUGGGCGUAAAGGGCGCGUAGGCGGCCUUCUAAGUCAGACGUGAAAUCCCCGGGCUCAACCCGGGAACUGCGUCUGAGACUGGAAGGCUCGAAUCCGGGAGAGGGAUGCGGAAUUCCAGGUGUAGCGGUGAAAUGCGUAGAUAUCUGGAGGAACACCGGUGGCGAAGGCGGCAUCCUGGACCGGCAUUGACGCUGAGGCGCGAAAGCCAGGGGAGCAAACAGG
rnacentral:rRNA from 1 species